rnacentral:rRNA from 1 species
CUUCCGAUCUAUGUCUGCGGACUGGUUUUUUGGUCCGCCGACAAAUGCCGGGGCAAAUUUAUGGGACGGCGUGGAGAUGCCCUAAGAGGUUUAUUUAAGGCGGCUGCUACAAAUCAACCGGCUGAUUUCCUGAAGAAAUCAGCCGAGUCGCCAGCCAUCCGAUCUAUCUUAUCUCAGCCCUUGAAAAACAGUCAACGCACACUCGAUGUCCUCUUCCCCGCACCGCAUCAGCCACCCCUGCUUUGAUCCCCGUCCAGGCCGCCGCUGCAAAAGCAUCACGGCUGCCGCCGGCAAAGCACUUUGCAACACCGAAGCCACCGUCAGUCGCUGCAUCGCAAUUCCAAGAGCCGCUGGGGAGGCUCCAUUGGAGCACCAUGAGCCGCCGGCGAGCGUUCCAUUGGGGCACCAAGCUGCUGCUUUGCAACUUCGAGCUCGCCGACGAGCGCUGCAACGUCGCAACGGGAGCCACCGGCAAGAGCUCCAUUGGAGCACCGACGCGCACGGCAGCUUCGAGAGCGUCGGCCGGCGAGAUCCAUUGGAGCAGCAAGCGCUGCAGCUUCGAUAGAUGCCGGCGGCAACACAACAUCGGGAGGCGGCGGCGAGAGCUUCAUUGCAGCACCGCAGCCGGCGAGCUCCACGGGGGUCGCAGCACCGCGUGUGCUGCACUGAGAGCGCCGGCGAGCUCCAUUGGAGUACCGAGCGCUGCACUGCAGCUCGACAUCACACCGACGAGCGCUGCAACGCAGCACCAAGAGCCGCCGGCGAGCGCUCCAUUGCAGCACUGCCGCCGACGAGCUCCAUGGGGUCGCAACGCCGCUUGUGCUGCACUGCAUCUCCGCCGCCGUCGCGAGAUCCACAGGGACGCAGCUACCUCCGGCGAUGAGCGGCGCCCAACUCCGGCCUCCCCGUGUUCGCUGCAGCACCGGCGACGAGCAGCGCCAGCCUCCGGCCUCCUGCUUCAUGUUGUGGCGCCGGCCUCAGGCUCUUUCUCUUGCUUGUGACGGUAGAGGAAAGGGGAAAAAGAGGAGGAGUGGGGGAGAAGGUCUGGAG